GUGGUUGUACAGCUCAGUGGUAGAGUGCUUGCCUCACAUGUAUGAGGCACUGGGUUCGAUCCUCAGCAUCGCA
rnacentral:tRNA from 1 species